GCCACAAGGGAAGCCCACAGAAAGGGGAGAGAUUGAUAAUAUAGGAGUGAAGGAACAUAUCUGUUUAUCUAAGACCCUCCCUCCUCUGUCCUGCUGUAUGUUCACACACACAACUCAGCUCCACAUGACUUUAAGGCCCCCUUCUCUCAGGCAGUCACUUUUCACAGUAAGAGCUCUCUCCCAGCCCCUAGAAUUAUUGUUACCUCCCCUGACCCCUCAGCCUAUAAAGGAAGCCACAGCUCCCCGCUAUUGCUUAUGCCCAGGUGGCCCCAUCCUACCCUGCCCACACCCCUGGGGACAGUCUUUCCAUCAAGCCCUAGCGAUGCUCAGCAGCCAGCUCCCUCUGCCAGGGCCCUGGCUGCCGCAUCCAAUGAGGCCACCCACAGAACUGGUCAGAGGGACCCAGGUCAGCUCAACUGAGAGGAUACCCACUUCUCUGAGCCUGAGGAAAGCAGGAGAAGGGGGGCCAAUGGACAUGUCUGCAGGUUUCAGGAAGAUUAAAGGACUCAACACAUGGAAAGCAGUCAGCACAAUGCCUGCCCAUCUUGUGCACUCAGCAUACAUCAGCUGUUCUUACUUCCAGGAGAGGUGGGGAAGCCAGAGGAAGUUCUGAAGCAAAAAUCUCAAGAAAGGACGACGCCUGUGUUUGUUGUCUCAGGAACAGCAGUCACAUCUAGGUCAAGGGAAUGAAGGUAAUGUAAGUUGUUCUAAGCUGGGAUCAGUCUGUGCCAGAGAUGAAGAGAAACUGUAUUCCAAAAAUCCCAGGCCUCACAUGGAUAUUACCAACUUUCUCGGAUGCUGGAUGGGCCUUGGCAGCCUAGAAGUCAACUGCACCAUAAGAGAGGCUGAGCUCUCGCUGACCUGCCUACCAUCUCCAGGAAGUUCCUCCCUGGAACCAACCAUAAAUGAACAAAAGUACCUCCUAUAAGAAGGAGAUACUGUCUCACAAUUCUGGAGGCCAGAGUGAAAUCAAGGUGUGAGCAGGACUAAUAUUUAGGAAUUUGUUCAGACUGACUCUUGGUAGGCAUCAAAUCUCAAGCAUCAAAGAAAUCUGUUGGAUAAAUUUCCAGAAAGCCUCCUAGUCAAGUGCCUAUGAACACUUUUCUAUUAGCAGAAGCACCCAAAGGAGAAGUCCAGAGAUGGAUCAAGGAAGAAAAAGCAAAAGUCCUACUCCUCUCACUUAGGCCUCAAGCAAUGUGUGACACUUGCCCUCCGUGUCAUCUCUGUUGCCUUUCAGAUCCCCGUCUAAAUUUCCAGCUAAUCUCAGCAUGAGGAGCAAGUCACCAGCCCUCUGAAGGCCUCCUUGGGGCACAGCCUACGCUCUGCAGGGUGUUCCCCAUCUGAGUCCUAUCUACACCAGCUCUUGCAGAUGACUGGAUCCUAAGCACACAGACCUCCCCAACUCCCGCUUCCCCCAGCAAUUUUUGUGACUCUGCUUUAACCUAUAAACUGAAGGGCAAGGCAGGGGAUGUUUUCCUGUUCUCUUUAAUCUGGUAUAUAAUAAAUUAUGCCUAUUUAAUCCUUUAA